UACGAAGGGGGCUAGCGUUGCUCGGAAUCACUGGGCGUAAAGCGCACGUAGGCGGAUCGUUAAGUCAGGGGUGAAAUCCUGGAGCUCAACUCCAGAACUGCCUUUGAUACUGGCGACCUUGAGUUCGGGAGAGGUGAGUGGAACUGCGAGUGUAGAGGUGAAAUUCGUAGAUAUUCGCAAGAACACCAGUGGCGAAGGCGGCUCACUGGCCCGAUACUGACGCUGAGGUGCGAAAGCGUGGGGAGCGAACGGG
rnacentral:rRNA from 1 species